UAGGGAAUCUUCCGCAAUGGACGCAAGUCUGACGGAGCAACGCCGCGUGAGUGAAGAAGGAUUUCGGUUCGUAAAACUCUGUUGUUAGAGAAGAACAGCGCAUAGAGUAACUGUUAUGCGUGUGACGGUAUCUAACCAGAAAGCCACGGCUAACUACGUGCCAGCAGCCGCGGUAAUACGUAGGUGGCAAGCGUUGUCCGGAUUUAUUGGGCGUAAAGCGAGCGCAGGCGGGCAAUUAAGUCUGAUGUGAAAGCCCCCGGCUCAACCGGGGAGGGUCAUUGGAAACUGGUUGACUUGGGGGGAGAAGGGGGGAGUGGAAUUCCAUGGGUGGCGGUGAAAUGCGUAGAUAUAUGGAGGAAAACCAGUGGCGAAGGCGACUCUCUGGUCUGUAACUGACGCUGAGGCUGGAAAGCGUGGGUAGCAAACAGG
rnacentral:rRNA from 1 species